CAUCCCGACUUACCAACCCGAUGCAAACUGCGAAUACCGGAGAAUGUUAUCACGGGAGACACACGGCGGGGGCUAACGUCCGUCGUGAAGAGGGAAACAACCCAGACCGCCAGCUAAGGUCCCAAAGUCAUGGUUAAGUGGGAAACGAUGUGGGAAGGCCCAGACAGCCAGGAUGUUGGCUUAGAAGCAGCCAUCAUUUAAAGAAAGCGUAAUAGCUCACUGGUCGAGUCGGCCUGCGCGGAAGAUGUAACGGGGCUAAACCAUGCACCGAAGCUGCGGCAGCGACGCUUAUGCGUUGUUGGGUAGGGGAGCGUUCUGUAAGCCUGCGAAGGUGUGCUGUGAGGCAUGCUGGAGGUAUCAGAAGUGCGAAUGCUGACAUAAGUAACGAUAAAGCGGGUGAAAAGCCCGCUCGCCGGAAGACCAAGGGUUCCUGUCCAACGUUAAUCGGGGCAGGGUGAGUCGACCCCUAAGGCGAGGCCGAAAGGCGUAGUCGAUGGG
rnacentral:rRNA from 1 species